ACUAGUAAGACAUUCCUUACAAAUAUAGGAAAGACAAAGAAUAAAAAAAACCAAAAUAGAAAGUUGAUUUUCUGUUAAACCAAACAAUGAAAAAAGCCUAAAAAGGAAAUUCAUUUAACAUACAACUAAACAAUGGUAAAUUAGUAGGAAAUUACAUUUUCUCAUGGAAAAUGUUAUUCAUCGAAAAUCAUUUUCCAUUGAAAACAUUUUACACCCAACCAAACAGGGCCUUAAUUAGUGUGGCCAGUUUUCUGACUUAGGGGUCAUAAAUUUAAAUAAAAUUAGAAAAAACCAAAACCCACACACCUGCCACUACUAGUAGACGACAACUCGGCCACCCCCUUCCCUGACCAAGCCUUUUAGAAGCAGAAUGAACAACGUGCGCCCAACCUACUUCAACAUUAACCUUGUUAAUAAUCACCUUCCAUAUUCAAUCAACUUCAAUUAUGAUUUCAAUCACCUAAACUAAACCUAGAAAAAUUGAAUUUGAUUACCAAGAAAACCCUAAAAAACAGAAAUAUAAAUUAAAAAAAAAAAAUUGAAGAAUGCAACCUUGGAAUGAGCAGCGGAAGCGGCAACGUGGAGGAGCGAGCGACGUGAUUUCUGUGUCAAUUGAAACAUCGGUCCUGGAUUUGGGUUCUAAUGCAGUUCGUCAUGGUAUCCUAGAAGUAUGCUGACUCCUCAACAGACUCAGGUAAUUGGGAGGUAUGAGGUAUAGCCUGAGACGUAUCACGAUGAUUUUCCGGGUUGGAAGAGACUCAAAGUGCAAAGUGGAAGCUCAUACAUAGCUCACAAGGCAAGGAAUGGCUAGCUUUAAGAAUUGGUGAUUGCGCUCUCAUGCUGCACUCGCACAAGAUUUUGGUGUUGAACCCACCGUGAACUCCAUUUCGGGAUUGCCAUGCCUAGUGACGAUCAAGAGGAGCGCACCAUCUACAUCAAGAGCGCACCAUGGAAGGUGUCCUACUCCAGUGGCGCGGGCGCGCACCACUUAUGCGAGAGCGCGCAAGCCAGUAGCGUGGGUGCGCAUCCUUCCUUUGCGGGCGCGCCACCUGGGGUCUCUGUUCCGUACCCAGAUCUUCGCGGGCGUGCAAGCUCGAGAGAUGGUGCACCCGGCUGGGUCUAUUUUGGACGUCUACCUUAUUUCCUUCUAGUUAUUUAUACUAUAAAUAGCUUUUUCCUUUUAUUUCUAGGGGAGACUUGAAUUUUCAUAAUUUUGUACUGAAUUUUAGAGAGAGAAACUUGAGAGAUAAUUUGUUGAUUACAAUUUUUAUCUUCAUUUACAUUGAAUUCAAGCACAAUUUCCUUUGUUCAAUCAAGUUUGUAAGAUUCUUCUACUUCUUAGUUCAAUUUCUAUGCAUUUGAUUUUGUUGAUUGUUGCAAUUUCAAGUUCCUUUGUUUGUUUGAAUUUGAUUAAAUUGUAUUGCAAUUAUGAUGACGUUGAUGAUGAUUAUAAGUUAGUUUUCUUCCUUCAAUUCAUUAUGCUUAGUGAGUAGAUUCUUUGCUAGGGUGAUGGUGAAGCAUGCAUGAAUGAUGGAUGAUUGCUACUUAUGGGAUUUUGAUUGAUUGAAAUGUUGUUAUUAAAUUGUUUGACACAAUUGUGCA